rnacentral:lncRNA from 1 species
UUCAGUAGCAUUACCUCUGUUGGAAAAAUGGAAGCUCAAAGCAGUUAAGCAGUUUAAAAGUGUACCAGUAGUAAGUGGUAGAGGCUACACAGAAGCACUGCUGAUUCCAGCCCUGGCAGGACUCCUGUUCAAACAUACUUCCCA